AUUGAACGCUGGCGGCAUGCUUUACACAUGCAAGUCGAACGGUAAUAGGGUGCUUGCACCGCUGACGAGUGGCGAACGGGUGAGUAAUGCGUCGGAACGUGCCGAGUAGUGGGGGAUAACGCAGCGAAAGUUGUGCUAAUACCGCAUACGUACUGAGGUAGAAAGUGGGGGACCUUCGGGCCUCACGCUAUUCGAGCGGCCGACGUCUGAUUAGCUAGUAGGUGAGGUAAAGGCUCACCUAGGCGACGAUCAGUAGCGGGUCUGAGAGGAUGAUCCGCCACACUGGGACUGAGACACGGCCCAGACUCCUACGGGAGGCAGCAGUGGGGAAUUUUGGACAAUGGGCGAAAGCCUGAUCCAGCCAUGCCGCGUGUCUGAAGAAGGCCUUCGGGUUGUAAAGGACUUUUGUCAGGGAGGAAAUCCCUAGCGUUAAUACCGCUGGGGGAUGACAGUACCUGAAGAAUAAGCACCGGCUAACUACGUGCCAGCAGCCGCCGCCGUAA
rnacentral:rRNA from 1 species